rnacentral:rRNA from 1 species
GUGGGGAAUCUUGCGCAAUGGGCGAAAGCCUGACGCAGCCAUGCCGCGUGAAUGAUGAAGGUCUUAGGAUUGUAAAAUUCUUUCACCGGGGACGAUAAUGACGGUACCCGGAGAAGAAGCUCCGGCUAACUUCGUGCCAGCAGCCGCGGUAAUACGAAGGGGGCUAGCGUUGCUCGGAAUUACUGGGCGUAAAGGGCGCGUAGGCGGACAGCUUAGUCAGAGGUGAAAGCCCAGGGCUCAACCUUGGAAUUGCCUUUGAUACUGGCUGUCUUGAGUUUGGGAGAGGUGAGUGGAACUCCGAGUGUAGAGGUGAAAUUCGUAGAUAUUCGGAAGAACACCAGUGGCGAAGGCGACUCACUGGCCCAAUACUGACGCUCAUGCACGAAAGCGUGGGGAGCAAACAGGAUUAGAAACCCCGGUAGUCC